rnacentral:rRNA from 1 species
UGGGAUAACUCCGGGAAACCGGAGCUAAUACCGGAUAACAUUUUUUCUUGCAUAAGAGAAAAUUGAAAGAUGGUUUCGGCUAUCACUUACAGAUGGGCCCGCGGUGCAUUAGCUAGUUGGUGAGGUAACGGCUCACCAAGGCAACGAUGCAUAGCCGACCUGAGAGGGUGAUCGGCCACACUGGGACUGAGACACGGCCCAGACUCCUACGGGAGGCAGCAGUAGGGAAUCUUCCGCAAUGGACGAAAGUCUGACGGAGCAACGCCGCGUGAGUGAUGAAGGCUUUCGGGUCGUAAAACUCUGUUGUUAGGGAAGAACAAGUACAAGAGUAACUGCUUGUACCUUGACGGUACCUAACCAGAAAGCCACGGCUAACUACGUGCCAGCAGCCGCGGUAAUACGUAGGUGGCAAGCGUUAUCCGGAAUUAUUGGGCGUAAAGCGCGCGCAGGCGGUUUCUUAAGUCUGAUGUGAAAGCCCACGGCUCAACCGUGGAGGGUCAUUGGAAACUGGGGAACUUGAGUGCACAAAAGAAAAGCGGAAUUCCACGUGUAGCGGUGAAAUGCGUAUAGAUGUGGAGGAACACCAGUGGGCGAAAGCGGG